UACGUAGGGGGCAAGCGUUGUCCGGAAUUAUUGGGCGUAAAGCGCGCGCAGGCGGCCUUGUAAGUCUGGUGUUUAAGCUCGGGGCUCAACCCCGAUACGCACCGGAAACUGCAAAGCUUGAGUGCAGAAGAGGAAAGUGGAAUUCCACGUGUAGCGGUGAAAUGCGUAGAGAUGUGGAGGAACACCAGUGGCGAAGGCGACUUUCUGGGCUGUAACUGACGCUGAGGCGCGAAAGCGUGGGGAGCAAAACGG
rnacentral:rRNA from 1 species